rnacentral:hammerhead_ribozyme from 1 species
AUCCAACUAACGAGCUCCAAAUAGGACGAAACGCUUGUCCUGGAU